rnacentral:lncRNA from 1 species
UUUGGUUAGGAUUUGAUAUAGGAUUAGGAUUUGGUUCGGAUUUGAUUUAGGAUUAGGAUUUGGUUUAGGAUUUAGGAUUUGGUUAGGAUUUGAUUUAGAAUUUAGGUUUUGAUUAGGAUUUGAUUUAGGAUUAAGAUUUGGUUAGGAUUUAGGAUUUAGUUUAGGAUUUAAGGUUUGAUUUAGGAUUUGGAGUUUGGUUCAGGAUUUAGGUUUUGGUUUAGGAUUUAGGGUUUGAUUUAGGAUCUAAAGUUUUCUUAGGAUUUAAUUUAGGAUUUAGGGUUUGAUUAGGAUUUAAUUUAGGAUUAGAAUUUGAUUAGGACUUGAUUUAGGAUUAGGAUUUGAUUUAGGAUUUGGUUAGGAUUUAAUUUAGGAUUUAGGAUUUGAUUAGU